rnacentral:rRNA from 1 species
AUUGAACGCUGGCGGCAGGCCUAACACAUGCAAGUCGAACGGUAACAGGAAGCAGCUUGCUUCUUUGCUGACGAGUGGCGGACGGGUGAGUAAUGUCUGGGAAACUGCCUGAUGGAGGGGGAUAACUACUGGAAACGGUAGCUAAUACCGCAUAACGUCGCAAGACCAAAGAGGGGGACCUUCGGGCCUCUUGCCAUCGGAUGUGCCCAGAUGGGAUUAGCUAGUAGGUGGGGUAACGGCUCACCUAGGCGACGAUCCCUAGCUGGUCUGAGAGGAUGACCAGCCACACUGGAACUGAGACACGGUCCAGACUCCUACGGGAGGCAGCAGUGGGGAAUAUUGCACAAUGGGCGCAAGCCUGAUGCAGCCAUGCCGCGUGUAUGAAGAAGGCCUUCGGGUUGUAAAGUACUUUCAGCGGGGAGGAAGGGAGUAAAGUU